GGCUUUAUAGUUUAAUUAUUAAAAUAUUAAAUUGCAAAUUUAAAGAUAGAAUUUUUCUUAGAGCUU
rnacentral:tRNA from 1 species